rnacentral:rRNA from 1 species
UAAGCGACUAAGCGUACACGGUGGAUGCCCUGGCAGUCAGAGGCGAUGAAGGACGUGCUAAUCUGCGAUAAGCGUCGGUAAGGUGAUAUGAACCGUUAUAACCGGCGAUUUCCGAAUGGGGAAACCCAGUGUGAUUCGUCACACUAUCAUUAACUGAAUCCAUAGGUUAAUGAGGCGAACCGGGGGAACUGAAACAUCUAAGUACCCCGAGGAAAAGAAAUCAACCGAGAUUCCCCCAGUAGCGGCGAGCGAACGGGGAGCAGCCCAGAGCCUGAAUCAGUAUGUGUGUUAGUGGAAGCGUCUGGAAAGGCGCGCGAUACAGGGUGACAGCCCCGUACACAAAAAUGCACAUGCUGUGAGCUCGAUGAGUAGGGCGGGACACGUGGUAUCCUGUCUGAAUAUGGGGGGACCAUCCUCCAAGGCUAAAUACUCCUGACUGACCGAUAGUGAACCAGUACCGUGAGGGAAAGGCGAAAAGAACCCCGGCGAGGGGAGUGAAAAAGAACCUGAAACCGUGAACGUACAAGCAGUGGGAGCACAGAGCAAUCUGUGUGACUGCGUACCUUUUGUAUAAUGGGUCAGCGACUUAUAUUCUGUAGCAAGGUUAACCGAAUAGGGGAGCCGAAGGGAAACCGAGUCUUAACUGGGCGUUAAGUUGCAGGGUAUAGACCCGAAACCCGGUGAUCUAGCCAUGGGCAGGUUGAAGGUUGGGUAACACUAACUGGAGGACCGAACCGACUAAUGUUGAAAAAUUAGCGGAUGACUUGUGGCUGGGGGUGAAAGGCCAAUCAAACCGGGAGAUAGCUGGUUCUCCCCGAAAGCUAUUUAGGUAGCGCCUCGUGAAUUCAUCUCCGGGGGUAGAGCACUGUUUCGGCAAGGGGGUCAUCCCGACUUACCAACCCGAUGCAAACUGCGAAUACCGGAGAAUGUUAUCACGGGAGACACACGGCGGGUGCUAACGUCCGUCGUGAAGAGGGAAACAACCCAGACCGCCAGCUAAGGUCCCAAAGUCAUGGUUAAGUGGGAAACGAUGUGGGAAGGCCCAGACAGCCAGGAUGUUGGCUUAGAAGCAGCCAUCAUUUAAAGAAAGCGUAAUAGCUCACUGGUCGAGUCGGCCUGCGCGGAAGAUGUAACGGGGCUAAACCAUGCACCGAAGCUGCGGCAGCGACGCUGAUGCGUUGUUGGGUAGGGGAGCGUUCUGUAAGCCUGUGAAGGUGUGCUGUGAGGCAUGCUGGAGGUAUCAGAAGUGCGAAUGCUGACAUAAGUAACGAUAAAGCGGGUGAAAAGCCCGCUCGCCGGAAGACCAAGGGUUCCUGUCCAACGUUAAUCGGGGCAGGGUGAGUCGACCCUAAGGCGAGGCCGAAAGGCGUAGUCGAUGGGAAACAGGUUAAUAUUCCUGUACUUGGUGUUACUGCGAAGGGGGGACGGAGAAGGCUAUGUUGGCCGGGCGACGGUUGUCCCGGUUUAAGCGUGUAGGCUGGUUUUCCAGGCAAAUCCGGAAAACUAAGGCUGAGGCGUGAUGACGAGGCACUACGGUGCUGAAGCAACAAAUGCCCUGCUUCCAGGAAAAGCCUCUAAGCAUCAGGUAACAUCAAAUCGUACCCCAAACCGACACAGGUGGUCAGGUAGAGAAUACCAAGGCGCUUGAGAGAACUCGGGUGAAGGAACUAGGCAAAAUGGUGCCGUAACUUCGGGAGAAGGCACGCUGAUAUGUAGGUGAAGUCCCUCGCGGAUGGAGCUGAAAUCAGUCGAAGAUACCAGCUGGCUGCAACUGUUUAUUAAAAACACAGCACUGUGCAAACACGAAAGUGGACGUAUACGGUGUGACGCCUGCCCGGUGCCGGAAGGUUAAUUGAUGGGGUCAGCGCAAGCGAAGCUCUUGAUCGAAGCCCCGGUAAACGGCGGCCGUAACUAUAACGGUCCUAAGGUAGCGAAAUUCCUUGUCGGGUAAGUUCCGACCUGCACGAAUGGCGUAAUGAUGGCCAGGCUGUCUCCACCCGAGACUCAGUGAAAUUGAACUCGCUGUGAAGAUGCAGUGUACCCGCGGCAAGACGGAAAGACCCCGUGAACCUUUACUAUAGCUUGACACUGAACAUUGAGCCUUGAUGUGUAGGAUAGGUGGGAGGCUUUGAAGUGUGGACGCCAGUCUGCAUGGAGCCGACCUUGAAAUACCACCCUUUAAUGUUUGAUGUUCUAACGUUGACCCGUAAUCCGGGUUGCGGACAGUGUCUGGUGGGUAGUUUGACUGGGGCGGUCUCCUCCUAAAGAGUAACGGAGGAGCACGAAGGUUGGCUAAUCCUGGUCGGACAUCAGGAGGUUAGUGCAAUGGCAUAAGCCAGCUUGACUGCGAGCGUGACGGCGCGAGCAGGUGCGAAAGCAGGUCAUAGUGAUCCGGUGGUUCUGAAUGGAAGGGCCAUCGCUCAACGGAUAAAAGGUACUCCGGGGAUAACAGGCUGAUACCGCCCAAGAGUUCAUAUCGACGGCGGUGUUUGGCACCUCGAUGUCGGCUCAUCACAUCCUGGGGCUGAAGUAGGUCCCAAGGGUAUGGCUGUUCGCCAUUUAAAGUGGUACGCGAGCUGGGUUUAGAACGUCGUGAGACAGUUCGGUCCCUAUCUGCCGUGGGCGCUGGAGAACUGAGGGGGGCUGCUCCUAGUACGAGAGGACCGGAGUGGACGCAUCACUGGUGUUCGGGUUGUCAUGCCAAUGGCACUGCCCGGUAGCUAAAUGCGGAAGAGAUAAGUGCUGAAAGCAUCUAAGCACGAAACUUGCCCCGAGAUGAGUUCUCCCUGACUCCUUGAGAGUCCUGAAGGAACGUUGAAGACGACGACGUUGAUAGGCCGGAUGUGUAAGCGCAGCGAUGCGUUGAGCUAACCGGUACUAAUGAACCGUGAGGCUUAACCU